rnacentral:sRNA from 1 species
CUGACAGCACUGGAAACCGAAGGCCUCUAAUUUAUCCACAAAAUGCAUAUAGUUUUUAAUCAUAGGCAAUAACAGUGAAAUUUUCUCACCUCAUGCAGGGGAUAUGCCUCAGCUCUAGAAUUCGAGGGGCCAUGCUUAACAGGGAACAGGGCAGUUUAGCAUCCAAUUCAGUCCUUUUAAGGAUGUG